rnacentral:rRNA from 1 species
UACGUAGGGCGCAAGCGUUGUCCGGAAUUAUUGGGCGUAAAGAGCUCGUAGGCGGCUUGUCGCGUCGAUUGUGAAAGCCCGGGGCUUAACUCCGGGUCUGCAGUCGAUACGGGCAGGCUAGAGUGUGGUAGGGGAGAUCGGAAUUCCUGGUGUAGCGGUGAAAUGCGCAGAUAUCAGGAGGAACACCGGUGGCGAAGGCGGGUCUCUGGGCAGUAACUGACGCUGAGGAGCGAAAGCGUGGGGAGCGAACAGG